AACGUAGGUGGCGAGCGUUAUCCGGAUUUACUGGGCGUAAAGCGUGUGCAGGCGGCUUAUCAAGUGGUGUAUGAAAUAUCCAGGCUCAACCUGGAGGGGUUAUGCCAGACUGGUAGGCUAGAGUGCGAGAGAGGGGCGUGGAAUUCCGGGUGUAGUGGUGAAAUGCGUAGAGAUCUGGAGGAACCCCAGAGGCGAAGGCGGCGCCCUGGCUCGACACUGACGCUCAGACACGACAGCAUGGGGAGCGAACGGG
rnacentral:rRNA from 1 species